rnacentral:sRNA from 1 species
CACUAUCGCCCUUUUGGGCGUUUCCUCCCUAGACUCCGGCCGCCUUCGAGGCGGCCUCUUUUUUAUGUGAG